CGAUGGUUGUCGUCAGCUCGUGUCGUGAGAUGUUGGGUUAAGUCCCGCAACGAGCGCAACCCUCGACCUUAGUUGCCAGCAUUCAGUUGGGCACUCUAAGGUGACUGCCGGCUAAAAGUCGGAGGAAGGUGGGGAUGACGUCAAAUCAUCAUGCCCCUUAUGACCUGGGCUACACACGUGCUACAAUGGGCGGUACAAAGGGUCGCGAACCCGCGAGGGGGAGCCAAUCCCAAAAAGCCGCUCUCAGUUCGGAUUGCAGGCUGCAACUCGCCUGCAUGGAGCCGGAAUCGCUAGUAAUCGCGGAUCAGCAUGCCGCGGUGAAUACGUUCCCGGGCCUU
rnacentral:rRNA from 1 species